rnacentral:tRNA from 3 species
GCGCCCGUAGCUCAGCUGGAUAGAGCGUCUGCCUCCGGAGCAGAAGGCCAGAGGUUCGAAUCCUCUCGGGCGUA